GAUGAACGCUAGCGACAGGCCUAACACAUGCAAGUCGAGGGGCAGCAUGGUAUCAGCUUGCUGAUACCGAUGGCGACCGGCGCACGGGUGAGUAACGCGUAUGUAAUCUGCCUGUAACAGAGGGAUAACCCGGAGAAAUCCGGCCUAAUACCUCAUAGCACAUAUUAUUCGCAUGAGUUUUAUGUUAAAGAGACUCGGUUACAGAUGAACAUGCGUUCCAUUAGCUGGUUGGCGGGGUAACGGCCCACCAAGGCAACGAUGGAUAGGGGUUCUGAGAGGAAGGUCCCCCACACUGGUACUGAGACACGGACCAGACUCCUACGGGAGGCAGCAGUGAGGAAUAUUGGUCAAUGGGCGAGAGCCUGAACCAGCCAAGUCGCGUGGAGGAAGACGGCCCUACGGGUUGUAAACUCCUUUUAUAAGGGGAUAAAGUUGGCCAUGUAUGGCCAUUUGCAGGUACCUUAUGAAUAAGCAUCGGCU
rnacentral:rRNA from 1 species